rnacentral:lncRNA from 1 species
UAUUUUGCUUGUGUAUAUUGUGUUUUUUUGUGUUGUCUUUGACCAUUAAUGUACAUAAUAAGAACAAAAACCAUAAAAAAACAUCUUGUGUGGAUUAUUGGUUUAGUUUGAGACUAUGUGGACUUAGAAUUUAGGCAACACUCCCUAUGAAAAGGACUUGGCCAAUGCCAACUUUCAUGUAACCAAGUGCUUGUAAUUUGAAACUUCAUUUG